UGCAUUCAUGGUACCCCUUCUUUUGUCAAAACAUCAUGAGGAUUGAAGGUUUACAACUUAAGAAACGGGGCAAGACGAGACCAGCAAAUGUUUAUUACAGACUUGAAAAUUUGACUAGAAACAGAAAUUUACCUACUCCAAGGGAUUAGCGGAUACAGAAACACCAAGAAAACAGGCUUAAAAGCCCUAGAAUUUAACGAGAGUAUAAUGAAACGGCUCAGUGCAAAAUCGUACUUUUAAUAGCAAUAAUUGAUGAUGUUUAAGAAAAUCUUGUCUUUGUUCUGGCUCUGUUUCAAUUUUUCUUCCCCGACUAUAGUAGUCCCUUUGAAAUAAUAAAAUAAUGAAAAAUUAAAAAGGACUGAUGAGCAUCCCAAACCUUGCCAUUUUCUUUCGUUCCAAGCCAAUCUACAGUUUUGACCAGGAUAAUAAUCACCAAUCUUAGUGAUAGUGGUUACUACCUCUGCUAAAAAUGAGCAAGAGAAAAGCCAGCGGUACGUGUCAUGACAUGGGAUGUACUAUCCAUCGAAACAAAAUAGAAAAUUGUUACAUUGUGCGAGAUAAAAUAGAAAAUUAUUACAUAGUGCGAGAUAAAAUAGAAAAUUAUUACAUAGUGUGGCAUGAUGCAACUAUAAUAGCGCCUCCAUACAUUUAAUUUCAAGAAACACACUUUACGUAUAUCUGCUUGUGAAAGGUGAGCACGUAGAAACCAUUCAACAUUGUAGUUAAGCCCAGAACAUACAAUCAUACAUCUUUUAACGAUAGUAUCUCUUUUUUUAUGCAAACUUGAUAUUUGGCUUGCUAGAUAUUCAUUGUUAUCGUAUAAAAACUUCAGCUNNNNN
rnacentral:lncRNA from 1 species